UACAGAGGGUGCGAGCGUUAAUCGGAAUUACUGGGCGUAAAGCGUGCGUAGACGGCUAUCUAAGUCGGGUGUGAAAGCCCCGGGCUCAACCUGGGAAUUGCAUUCGAGACUGAAUAGCUAGGGUACGGUAGAGGGAAGCGGAAUUUCCGGUGUAGCGGUGAAAUGCGUAGAUAUUGGGAGGAACACCAGUGGCGAAGGCGGCUCACUGGACUGGUACUGACGCUGAGGCGCGAAAGCGUGGGGAGCAAACGGG
rnacentral:rRNA from 1 species